CAGACAAGCAUAUCAUCAUUAAAUUUGUUUGAUUAACAAAUUUAAUGGCCAUCGCACUUAAUCUUUUCCUCAACGUCAAUGGUUUCAACCCCACCAAGCUAUUAUUUCAAACUGACUUCGCAUUUCCCUAUCUCACAUUCCAUUUCCCCCUAUUUAAGCUCCUUCAACCUUCUUCUUUUUCUUCUCCCUGUAAGAUCAAAAAGGGUUCAUACCAUAGCAUCUUCUGUUAGUGUUAAAGAGAAUGAAGGUUGCGGUUACUACAGUGGUAGUGUUGAUGCUGCUGGCAAGCUCUUCUGUGGCUAGAGAUAGGAAGAAACUGAUGACGAAAUUGGAGAAGGAAGAACUGAGCAAUAAAUCUGAGGAUAGUGGUCACCAUCAAAUCCCUCGAAAGGAGUAUGGAAAACCAGGAUCUGGACAACGUACGGUGAGUGAGGAGUUUAAUCACCAUUACAUACCUCGGAAGGAUUAUGGUGGUCUUGGAGGAAAUUAAUGUUGCUCAGAUGCAUCAUAUUGCUGUAUAUAUAAAUAUAUAUGCAUGUGCAUGAGUCAUGGAGUGUGUGAUGAGUAUAAUGAAUGCUAGAUAUGUGUGUUAUGCAUAAGAUAUGUAUGCAAGGAGUUACUGAGAUUAAUUAGUGUAUGAAAUUAUUAGGUGAAAGAACUAGGGUAACGUAUGAUGCGAAAACCCUGGUGGUUUUAUGUACUUAUAAGUGGAGUUGUUAUGUUCGUAACUCUAUAUAGCUCUAAUAAAAGACUUUGUUUGAUCAA